rnacentral:rRNA from 1 species
UACGGGGGGGGGUAAGCGUUGUUCGGAAUCACUGGGCGUAAAGCGCACGUAGGCGGAUGUGUCAGUCAGGGGUGAAAUCCCGGAGCUCAACUUCGGAACUGCCCUUGAUACAGCACGUCUUGAGUCCGGAAGAGGUGGGUGGAAUUCCUAGUGUAGAGGUGAAAUUCGUAGAUAUUAGGAAGAACACCGGUGGCGAAGGCGGCCCACUGGUCCGGUACUGACGCUGAGGUGCGAAAGCGUGGGGAGCAAACAGG